rnacentral:rRNA from 1 species
GACGAACGCUGGCGGCGUGCUUAACACAUGCAAGUCGAACGAAGUGGCGAACGGGUGAGUAACGCGUAAUCAACCUGCCCUUCAGAGGGGGACAACAGUUGGAAACGACUGCUAAUAUCGCAUACUGAAGGAGGGGUAUGCGUCUGAAGAGCUAGUUGGCGGGGUAACGGCCAACCAAGGCGAUGAUCAGUAGGCGGUCUGAGAGGAUGAACGGCCAAAUUGGGACGGGGAAACGGCCCCGACUCCUACGGGAGGCAGCAGUGGGGAAUCUUCCGCAAUGGACGAAAGUCUUACGGAGCAACGCCGGGUGAGUGAUGAAGGCCUUCGGGUUGUAAAGCUCUGUUAAUCGGGACGCGGUACCGGAAUAGAAAGCCACGGCUAACUACGUGCCAGCAGCCGCGGUAAUAC